rnacentral:rRNA from 1 species
UACGGGGGGAGCAAGUGUUGUUCGGAUUUACUGGGCGUAAAGGGCGCGUAGGCGGCCACCGCAAGUCAGUUGUGAAAUCUCUGGGCUUAACCCAGAACGGUCAGCUGAUACUGCGGGGCUAGAGUGCAGAAGGGGCAACUGGAAUUCUCGGUGUAGCGGUGAAAUGCGUAGAUAUCGAGAGGAACACCUGCGGCGAAGGCGGGUUGCUGGGCUGACACUGACGCUGACAGCGCGAAAGCUAGGGGAGCGAACGGG